UACACUCCUACGGGAGGCAGCAGUGGGGAAUUUUGGACAAUGGGCGAAAGCCUGAUCCAGCAAUGCCGCGUGAGUGAAGAAGGCCUUCGGGUUGUAAAGCUCUUUUGUCAGGGAAGAAACGGUGAAAGCUAAUAUCUUUUGCUAAUGACGGUACCUGAAGAAUAAGCACCGGCUAACUACGUGCCAGCAGCCGCGGUAAUACGUAGGGUGCAAGCGUUAAUCGGAAUUACUGGGCGUAAAGCGUGCGCAGGCGGUUUUGUAAGUCUGAUGUGAAAUCCCCGGGCUCAACCUGGGAAUUGCAUUGGAGACUGCAAGGCUAGAAUCUGGCAGAGGGGGGUAGAAUUCCACGUGUAGCAGUGAAAUGCGUAGAUAUGUGGAGGAACACCGAUGGCGAAGGCAGCCCCCUGGGUCAAGAUUGACGCUCAUGCACGAAAGCGUGGGGAGCAAACAGGAUUAGAUACCCGAGUAGUCCCAUGA
rnacentral:rRNA from 1 species